rnacentral:rRNA from 1 species
ACGAACGCUGGCGGCAUGCCUAACCCAUGCAAGUCGAACGAGACCUUCGGGUCUAGUGGCGCACGGGUGCGUAACGCGUGGGAACCUGCCCUUAGGUUCGGAAUAACUCCCCGAAAGGGGUGCUAAUACCGGAUAAUGUCUUCGGACCAAAGAUUUAUCGCCUUUGGUUGGGCCCGCGUUGGAUUAGCUAGUUGGUAGGGUAAAAGCCUACCAAGGCGACGAUCCAUAGCUGGUCUGAGAGGAUGAUCAGCCACACUGGGACUGAGACACGGCCCAGACUCCUACGGGAGGCAGCAGUGGGGAAUAUUGGACAAUGGGCGAAAGCCUGAUCCAACAAUGCCGCGUGAGUGAUGAAGGCCUUAGGGUUGUAAAGCUCUUUUACCCGGGAUGAUAAUGACAGUACCGGGAGAAUAAGCUCCGGCUAACUCCGUG